rnacentral:rRNA from 1 species
UGUUUAUCUGUUUAACUAUGGCAGGAGAAAGUAAUUUAAAGUCAACCGCAUAAAAGUUUUAUAAAAUAAUUAGUUUAAGUAUCAUUUGUGCUUUAAGAUUAGCGGUUAGUAUUUUAUUUAAGCGUAAGCUUUAUUAAGGAUUUUAAAAUUAAGAGGGGAUUAGGCACAGUGCCAGCAUCCGCGGUUAUUCUGUUUUCUCUGCUUUUUUGUGGUUACGUUUAAAAAUAAUUAUAAAUAAAAUUAGGUGAAAUUUUUUUAUUAUAGUUACUAAUAUUUUAUACGUUAAUAAGUGGUUAGGUUAUGAAAGGGAUUAGAUACCCCAUUAAUUAAUCAUUUAAUUUAACUUAGUUUUAUAACUAAAUUAGUUUGGCAGUGAGUUACUCCUAUCAGGGGAAGGUGUGUUAUAAAGGACGAUCCGCCUAUUAAUUCACCUUGGUUAUGUUGGUGUAUAUCUGGUUUAAUAUUAUUGCUUAGUUGCUUGAAUUUGUGUAUUAACUUUUAAGCUAAGUCUAUGUGCUGCAUGCCAAGGUUUUCAUGCGUUACAUUAAUAAGGUUUACUUUGUAAUAAGGUAAUAUUUAGGACUUGAUAGUAAUACUAAAUUAAUUUGUUGGUGUGAAGUUGGUUUAGCUCAGGUACACACCGCCCGUCACCCUCGAUUAUUUUGAGGUAAGUCGUAACAAGGUAGCCCCAGAUGAAUCUGGGGCUAAUUAUUAGUCUUAUCAUUUAAUUUAAAACUAAUAAUA